AGUGAACGCUGGCGGUAGGCCUAACACAUGCAAGUCGAACGGCAGCACAGUAAGAGCUUGCUCUUACGGGUGGCGAGUGGCGGACGGGUGAGGAAUACAUCGGAAUCUACUUUUUCGUGGGGGAUAACGUAGGGAAACUUACGCUAAUACCGCAUACGACCUACGGGUGAAAGCAGGGGAUCUUCGGACCUUGCGCGAUUGAAUGAGCCGAUGUCGGAUUAGCUAGUUGGCGGGGUAAAGGCCCACCAAGGCGACGAUCCGUAGCUGGUCUGAGAGGAUGAUCAGCCACACUGGAACUGAGACACGGUCCAGACUCCUAGGGAGGCAGCAGUGGGGAAUAUUGGACAAUGGGCGCAAGCCUGAUCCAGCCAUACCGCGUGGGUGAAGAAGGCCUUCGGGUUGUAAAGCCCUUUUGUUGGGAAAGAAAAGCAGCAGGUUAAUACCCCGCUGUUCUGACGGUACCCAAAGAAUAAGCACCGGCUAACUUCGUG
rnacentral:rRNA from 1 species